GGGAACUAGGCACUUCAUUUAGCUAGUAAACAACCACCAAAGGAGUUGGUGAAGAGCACAAUCUCGAUCAAAGUUUGCAAUUCUAGACUCUUCACUUGAGGUUCUGAGUUGCAUGAAGUCUUGGAGAACUAGAAAAGAAAUGUUAUAUUUUGAAUGCCCACUUUUGUAUAUAUACUUAGGGAAAACUUUAGUAUCUUUUGGAUGACUUUUGUGUAUUUGGGAAAAUGUGAAUCCUGUGGUGCUUCUGUGCCCUGGAUUAGGAAUUUUAAAUUGUAAAUUAAGUUGAAUUUAAGUAUUUUAAGUUAGACAUUUUCUUUGAUGCUUGAAAUUGUACUUUUGGAUGAGUAAGUUGAAUGGUACGGUUUGUUUAA